UUGCUCAGAUUGAACGCUGGCGGCAGGCUUAACACAUGCAAGUCGAGCGGAGAGAGGUAGCUUGCUACUGAUCUUAGCGGCGGACGGGUGAGUAAUGCUUAGGAAUCUGCCUAUUAGUGGGGGACAACAUUUCGAAAGGAAUGCUAAUACCGCAUACGUCCUACGGGAGAAAGCAGGGGAUCUUCGGACCUUGCGCUAAUAGAUGAGCCUAAGUCGGAUUAGCUAGUUGGUGGGGUAAAGGCCUACCAAGGCGACGAUCUGUAGCGGGUCUGAGAGGAUGAUCCGCCACACUGGGACUGAGACACGGCCCAGACUCCUACGGGAGGCAGCAGUGGGGAAUAUUGGACAAUGGGCGCAAGCCUGAUCCAGCCAUGCCGCGUGUGUGAAGAAGGCCUUAUGGUUGUAAAGCACUUUAAGCGAGGAGGAGGCUACUUUAGUUAAUACCUAGAGAUAGUGGACGUUACUCGCAGAAUAAGCACCGGCUAACUCUGUGCCAGCAGCCGCGGUAAUACAGAGGGUGCAAGCGUUAAUCGGAUUUACUGGGCGUAAAGCGCGCGUAGGCGGCUAAUUAAGUCAAAUGUGAAAUCCCCGAGCUUAACUUGGGAAUUGCAUUCGAUACUGGUUAGCUAGAGUGUGGGAGAGGAUGGUAGAAUUCCAGGUGUAGCGGUGAAAUGCGUAGAGAUCUGGAGGAAUACCGAUGGCGAAGGCAGCCAUCUGGCCUAACACUGACGCUGAGGUGCGAAAGCAUGGGGAGCAAACAGGAUUAGAUACCCUGGUAGUCCAUGCCGUAAACGAUGUCUACUAGCCGUUGGGGCCUUUGAGGCUUUAGUGGCGCAGCUAACGCGAUAAGUAGACCGCCUGGGGAGUACGGUCGCAAGACUAAAACUCAAAUGAAUUGACGGGGGCCCGCACAAGCGGUGGAGCAUGUGGUUUAAUUCGAUGCAACGCGAAGAACCUUACCUGGCCUUGACAUAGUAAGAACUUUCCAGAGAUGGAUUGGUGCCUUCGGGAACUUACAUACAGGUGCUGCAUGGCUGUCGUCAGCUCGUGUCGUGAGAUGUUGGGUUAAGUCCCGCAACGAGCGCAACCCUUUUCCUUAUUUGCCAGCGAGUAAUGUCGGGAACUUUAAGGAUACUGCCAGUGACAAACUGGAGGAAGGCGGGGACGACGUCAAGUCAUCAUGGCCCUUACGGCCAGGGCUACACACGUGCUACAAUGGUCGGUACAAAGGGUUGCUACCUAGCGAUAGGAUGCUAAUCUCAAAAAGCCGAUCGUAGUCCGGAUUGGAGUCUGCAACUCGACUCCAUGAAGUCGGAAU
rnacentral:rRNA from 1 species